UACGUAGGGUGCAAGCGUUGUCCGGAAUUAUUGGGCGUAAAGAGCUCGUAGGCGGUCUGUCGCGUCUGCUGUGAAAACUCAGGGCUUAACCCUGAGCUUGCAGUGGGUACGGGCAGACUAGAGUGCGGUAGGGGAGACUGGAAUUCCUGGUGUAGCGGUGAAAUGCGCAGAUAUCAGGAGGGAACACCCGGUGGGCGAAAGGCGGGUCUCUGGGCCGUAACUGACGC
rnacentral:rRNA from 1 species